AGGGUACCAGUGGAAUGCCAGGAAUUAGUGGACCAAAGGGAGACAAGGGAGAGAUCGGACGACCAGGGUCAAAGGGUCGUACUGGUCCUCUUGGGUUACCAGGUAGACAGGGACCAGCAGGAUGGCCCGGUCCAGAGGGACCCAAAGGAGAGAAAGGAGAGCCAGGGCUGAUGGGUCUGCCGGGGUUGAGAGGACCACCUGGAAACAAGGGUCUUCCUGGUUAUAAAGGAGAGAAGG